GGGAAGCUGCCAUCAAGUGUCGGCUCUGUGGUCUCAUCUGAAAGCUCGACUGGGUGGGAUCCCCUUCCAAGUUCAUUCACGUGGUUGUACAUGAGGAAGUAGUUCCUGUCGGUUGUCGGGCUGAGGCCAUCCUCAGGGCCUUGACACAGAGCCUCCUUAACACACUAAUUUCCUUCAUCAAAGCUAGCAAGAGGGAGAGUCUGUCUUUUGUAAUCUAAUCCCAGAGUGACAUCCUCAACGUGGCCACAUUCUGUUGUGAGAAGGGAGCUACUCAAGGAUCGAGGAUCACUCUGGCCAUGCAUUCCAGGAGCGGGACUCAGGGGACCAUCUUAGAUGCCAUCCGCAACCACAGAAGUAGGUAACAGAGUCUCAACACUCAAGAUUCCAGAACCAGAAAAAGAUGCACACAUGGGGAAUUCUGCCCGCCGCUCCCGCCUGCCCGCCAACGCCCUUCCUGUCGCCCACUGCUGGGGCUACUUCUUGGUAGCCUCCCAGGACGCCGAUGCAUGUGUGAGCACAUAUCUUUGCUCCCGCUCCUUUUCUCAUACACAGGGCAGCACACUAUGCCCACCAGCCUGCAACUUUUUUUUUUUAAUUGUGGUGAGAGCACUUAUUGUGAGCUCUUCCCUCUUAGUGGAUUCUUCUUCUGAACUAACCAUAGGUGUGCUGCACACCCCUAGAGUAUCAUUUUACAUCCCUGAAACUCUAUACCCA
rnacentral:lncRNA from 1 species